rnacentral:rRNA from 1 species
AUGCAAGUCGAACGAAGUAGCAAUACUUAGUGGCAGACGGGUGAGUAACAUGUAGGUAUCUGCCCUUUGGCCUGGAAUAACACGAGGAAACUCGUGCUAAUACCGGAUAAGUCUUUACGGAGAAAGCUUUAUGCACCAUUGGAUGAGCCUGCACUUGAUUAGUUUGUUGGUGGGGUUAUGGCCUACCAAGACUGUGAUCAAUAGCUGAUUUGAGAGGAUGAUCAGCCACAUUGGGACUGAGACACGGCCCAAACUCCUACGGGAGGCAGCAGUGGGGAAUCUUGCACAAUGGAGGAAACUCUGAUGCAGCGAUGCCGCGUGAGUGAAGAAGGCCUUUGGGUUGUAAAGCUCUUUCGUCGGGGAAGAAAAUGACUGUACCCGAAUAAGAAGGUCCGGCUAACUUCGUGCCAGCAGCCGCGGUAAUACGAAGGGACCUAGCGUAGUUCGGAAUUACUGGGCUUAAAGAGUUCGUAGGUGGUUGAAAAAGUUGGUGGUGAAAUCCCAGAGCUUAACUCUGGAACUGCCAUCAAAACUUUUCAGCUAGAGUAUGAUAGAGGAAAGCAGAAUUUCUAGUGUAGAGGUGAAAUUCGUAGAUAUUAGAAAGAAUACCAAUUGCGAAGGCAGCUUUCUGGAUCAUUACUGACACUGAGGAACGAAAGCAUGGGUAGCGAAGAGGAUUAGAUACCCUCGUAGUCCAUGCCGUAAACGAUGUGUGUUAGACGUUGGAAAUUUAUUUUCAGUGUCGCAGCGAAAGCGAUAAACACACCGCCUGGGGAGUACGACCGCAAGGUUAAAACUCAAAUGAAUUGACGGGGACCCGCACAAGUAGUGGAGCAUGUGGUUUAAUUCGAAGAUACGCGCAGAACCUUACCAACACUUGACAUGUUCGUCGCGACUUUAAGAGAUUAAAGUUUUCGGUUCGGCCGGACGAAACACAGGUGCUGCAUGGCUGUCGUCAGCUCGUGUCGUGAGAUGUUGGGUUAAGUCCCGCAACGAG